rnacentral:rRNA from 1 species
GAUGAACGCUGGCGGCGUGCUUAACACAUGCAAGUCGAACGGAAAGGCCCAAGCUUGCUUGGGUACUCGAGUGGCGCACGGGUGAGUAACACGUGGGUGUUCUGCCCUGCUCUUCGGGGUAUGCCUGGGAAACUGGGUAUCUUACACGGUAGGACAUCUUCUUGGUCGGUGUGGUGGAAUGUUUUUCCGGUGUGGUAUGACUUCGCGGCCUAUCCGCGUGUUGAUGGGUAAUUGGCGUACCAAGGCGUCGACGGGUAGCCGGCCUGAGAGAGUGUACGGCCACAUUGGGACUGAGAGACAGCCCAGACUCCUACAGGAGGCAGCAGGGGGGAAUAUUGCACAAUGGGAGCAAGCCUGAUGCAGCGACGCCGCGGGAGGGAUGACGGCCUUCGGGUGGUAAGCUCCAUUCGCUAGGGACGAAGCGUUGUUGUGACGGUACCUGGAGAAGAAGCACCGGCUAACUACGUG